rnacentral:rRNA from 1 species
UAGGGAAUCUUCCGCAAUGGGCGAAAGCUUGACGGAGCAACGCCGCGUGAGUGAUGAAGGUCUUCGGAUCAUAAAACUCUGUUAUUAGGGAAGAACAAAUGUGUAAGUAACUAUGCACGUCUUGACGGUACCUAAUCAGAAAGCCACGGCUAACUACGUGCCAGCAGCCGCGGUAAUACGUAGGUGGCAAGCGUUAUCCGGAAUUAUUGGGCGUAAAGCGCGCGUAGGCGGUUUUUUAAGUCUGAUGUGAAAGCCCACGGCUCAACCGUGGAGGGUCAUUGGAAACUGGAAAACUUGAGUGCAGAAGAGGAAAGUGGAAUUCCAUGUGUAGCGGUGAAAUGCGCAGAGAUAUGGAGGAACACCAGUGGCGAAGGCGACUUUCUGGUCUGUAACUGACGCUGAUGUGCGAAAGCGUGGGGAUCAAACAGG